rnacentral:rRNA from 1 species
CCUACGGGCGUCAGCAGUGGGGAAUAUUGCACAAUGGGGGAAACCCUGAUGCAGCGACGCCGCGUGAGUGAAGAAGUAAUUCGGUAUGUAAAGCUCUAUCAGCAGGGAAGAAAAUGACGGUACCUGAGUAAGAAGCCCCGGCUAACUACGUGCCAGCAGCCGCGGUAAUACGUAGGGGGCAAGCGUUAUCCGGAUUUACUGGGUGUAAAGGGAGCGUAGACGGCAGCACAAGUCUGGAGUGAAAUGCCGGGGCUUAACCCCGGAACUGCUUUGGAAACUGUGCAGCUAGAGUGCAGGAGAGGUAAGUGGAAUUCCUAGUGUAGCGGUGAAAUGCGUAGAUAUUAGGAGGAACCCCAGUGGCGAAGGCGGCUUACUGGACUGUAACUGACGUUGAGGCUCGAAAGCGUGGGGAGCAAACAGGAUUAGAUACCCCUGUAGUC